CACGUAGGGCGCAAGCGUUGUCCGGAAUUAUUGGGCGUAAAGAGCUCGUAGGCGGUUUGUCGCGUCGAAUGUGAAAACCCGGGGCUCAACCCCGGGCCUGCAUUCGAUACGGGCAGACUAGAGUUCGGUAGGGGAGUCUGGAAUUCCCGGUGUAGUGGUGAAAUGCGUAGAUAUCGGGAGGAACACCAGUGGCGAAGGCGACUUCCUGGCCUGUUCUUGACGCUGAGGCGCGAAAGCUAGGGGAGCAAACGGG
rnacentral:rRNA from 1 species